UGGAACUGUUGGAAGGUGGAUUGUUUUUCGAAGUGCUAGGCUUGGAUCUUUUAUAGGACAAGUACCUACCUAGUACCUAUUGACGAAUCAUCUUAGAAGUUAAACGCACAGGAAAAUCCCAAUAGAUAAUAAUUAAUGAUUGGUAAUCAAAUUAAAGGUUAUUAUUAAUCGACUGAGAUACGUAUAGAAAAUAUGUUACAAAUUCCAAAGAUUACAAUAUUAUAGUAACUAAUUAAAUUAUAAUUAAAUUAUAUAAUUUAUUGUUAUUAUUAUUUUAUUAUAUGGUUCAUCAAAUAUCAUGCAUUCACGUGUCAAUAUAUACGUGAUAUCGUAUAUCACGUGUAUAUCAAAUAUAUUAUUAUUGUUAUGGGCUAUGAGAUAUCUAUAAGAUAUCUACGAGAUUACUAGGCUAAGUUAGUAUGACCAUGCCUCGUGUCAAGGGUAAUGCGGAUGCUACUAUGACCAUGACACGUGUCGGGAUAGUAAGCGCACCAAUAAUUACAGUGCACUAAUGAUGCAUUUGAGAUGUUAUUGCACAUUCUCAAAUUCGUGUCCGAAUUUGCAACAACAACAACAAGGACACCUGGUUUUACCCAGAAGGCGACCACACGACGUAAACAAGAGACGCACCACAAUAUAUAAGGGAGCCCGAAGACCAGUGUAGUAAACCGACGUUUUUAGUAUAAAAACGUAGUUCCGAAGUCCAGUGGUCUAUGACUAUAUCACGCCACCGAGUCGGACCACUCAUGCCGUUUCCUGAUUGGAUUAGACACAUCACGCCACUUCAUAGACGUAGAUCAUCCGAUUCUCCAUCACGGCAUGUUCCAUAUAAAUAUGAGUCCUCAUCAUAGAUUUAAUUAGAGUUAGUUAAGAGUCAGUUAGACCAAGUUAGUGUUGUCACUUGCUCUCCGGUAGCUAAGUACUUGUGCUUACGCUAACGAAAGCCUUUUCAUUAUUAUUUUAACAAAUUAAUAAACGUAUCAAUUGUCUUAUUAAUUUAUUGUUAACUAAUAUACCUCAACUCUCCAACCUACGACGGAACGUGCAUUCGUCGUAAAAGAAGCGUGCAGUAACUAUCACUGGUUACUACAUAAAAUUUGGUGUCAGGUGUGGGGUCAUACUUCAUCAAACGAAAUUUUUUUGAGUCAAAUCAAAAAAUAAGUACUUUGAGACCCACCGACGAAACCACGUUCACGACAGGAAGGAGAACAGAGAGAAUUCAAGCGGUCUAGUCCAGGGAGGACAGAAAUCAAAUUCCAGAAGGACGGAAGUCAACUUUUCAAACGGGGCGGUACUCUUUUCGCCCAAAAAUGACCCUUCGCUUUUUGCCCACGUCUCUUUUCGCCCAAAUAUUUUAAAACUACUUUCCCUUUUCGCCCAAGAAUAUUAUAUAGCACUUUUCGACCAAAUUUUUAUAAUACACACUUUGGGAAACACUUACUUUAAAAUAUUUAUCUUUAACAUAAUAAUAAAUUUGUUAUAUUUAAA